CUAUACNUGCAGUCGAGCGAACAGACAAGGAGCUUGCUCCUUUGACGUUAGCGGCGGACGGGUGAGUAACACGUGGGUAACCUACCUAUAAGACUGGGAUAACUUCGGGAAACCGGAGCUAAUACCGGAUAAUAUUUCGAACCGCAUGGUUCGAUAGUGAAAGAUGGUUUUGCUAUCACUUAUAGAUGGACCCGCGCCGUAUUAGCUAGUUGGUAAGGUAACGGCUUACCAAGGCGACGAUACGUAGCCGACCUGAGAGGGUGAUCGGCCACACUGGAACUGAGACACGGUCCAGACUCCUACGGGAGGCAGCAGUAGGGAAUCUUCCGCAAUGGGCGAAAGCCUGACGGAGCAACGCCGCGUGAGUGAUGAAGGUCUUCGGAUCGUAAAACUCUGUUAUUAGGGAAGAACAUACGUGUAAGUAACUAUGCACGUCUUGACGGUACCUAAUCAGAAAGCCACGGCUAACUACGUGCCAGCAGCGGCCGGGUAAUA
rnacentral:rRNA from 1 species